AAAAAAAAAAAAAAAAAAAAAAAAAAGAAAUAUCAAAGCUACAAACUUUAACUGCAUGUAUGAACAGUAUGGAUAUAUUCAAGAUUUACAGGUGUAUUCCCAGCUAACAGGCAUAAAAUAUGUAACACAUAUUCUGAAAGUAAAUGAAAUAUGAACAAUAAUAUACUAAAUAAAGUUUACAACAGAGUAUUACAAAUAAUUAACCUAAAAAAUACCUUUUUGAGUAUACAAAAAAAAAAUCUCUACACAAAUAAAAAGAAAUGUAGACAAAAAAUCUAAAAUGUGCUGUUUUUAACAUUAUAAUACAACCCCCCCCCCCCCC